rnacentral:rRNA from 1 species
AGUGAACGCUGGCGGUAGGCCUAACACAUGCAAGUCGAACGGCAGCACAGUAAGAGCUUGCUCUUACGGGUGGCGAGUGGCGGACGGGUGAGGAAUACAUCGGAAUCUACUUUUUCGUGGGGGAUAACGUAGGGAAACUUACGCUAAUACCGCAUACGACCUACGGGUGAAAGCAGGGGAUCUUCGGACCUUGCGCGAUUGAAUGAGCCGAUGUCGGAUUAGCUAGUUGGCGGGGUAAAGGCCCACCAAGGCGACGAUCCGUAGCUGGUCUGAGAGGAUGAUCAGCCACACUGGAACUGAGACACGGUCCAGACUCCUACGGGAGGCAGCAGUGGGGAAUAUUGGACAAUGGGCGCAAGCCUGAUCCAGCCAUACCGCGUGGGUGAAGAAGGCCUUCGGGUUGUAAAGCCCUUCUGUUGGGAAAGAAAAGCAGCAGGUUAAUACCCCGCUGUUCUGACGGUACCCAAAGAAUAAACACCGGCUAACUUCGU